rnacentral:rRNA from 1 species
UACGGAGGGUGCAAACGUUGCUCGGAAUUAUUGGGCGUAAAGAGCGCGCAGGCGGUCGUUCAAGUCGAGUGUGAAAGCCCCCGGCUCAACUGGGGAGGGUCACUCGAUACUGAUCGACUCGAAGGCAGAAGAGGGAAGCGGAAUUCCCGGUGUAGUGGUGAAAUGCGUAGAUAUCGGGAGGAACACCAGUGGCGAAGGCGGCUUUCUGGUCUGCUCUUGACGCUGAGGCGCGAAAGCUAGGGUAGCAAACGGG